UCAAGAUACAAAUUCCGAUAAAACAAAUAAAAAAACAAAAUAAAAGAAUAAAAACUCAAGGUUGCACGUGUUCAGUUAGAGCGCGAAAACUUGUCGAGGGUACAAAAGAUCCAGCAGCUGGAUCUAUUCUAAGGACUUCAGAAGUUAGACAAAGCAAGAGGAACCUUGUCUAAAGGGGUGCAAGAUUGUCUGAGAUGACAGUUUGAGUGUUACAUCGAGGAAAAGAAGAAACAUUCGAGUUCGAAGGAAAAAUCUUGGGAAAGCACGUAUUGCUCCAUAACGAUGACGGGUGGACUUCCCUCUCUUUUUCAAGGAACUUGCAAUCAUUAUCCUAGAUUAUAUUAAUGUCGUUUCAUCUACUAUUUUCUUUUUCUGUCUCGUAGUAAAUGAAACUGAUUCACAGAUUGUCACGAUUCUGAAACACUCGAAUAUUCGUAAAAUCACUCAUAAAAAUCAUGUUUCAAUAUGACUCAUCGUUGGAUAUUAAAUCACAUGUAUUCUGUUAAAAAAUCUGGAUCAAUAAAAACUAUAAUUCAUGAUCCAUCGAUGGAGAACGUUUAAAGUUGAUUAUCGAAAUUUUAUAAACCUGACACGUUCAAUGACGCAGUUUAAUUACAUGACAAGCAAAAACAGGAUUGCUCGACCACGACAAAGCGUAAUUUGAUUACUUGUCGGUGGAUGGAACGCUGAUGCCAUUGGUCGAUGCAAUUUCGAUCGAUCUUCGAUUUUUCAUCCCACAAACAGUAUUACAUCUUCUAAAAUGUAAUCACUCUGGUAUCACUUAUGAUAUUCGAAGAA